AGAAUUAAUAUAAUAGAUUCAAACAAAAACCCCAGUCUCUUGCUCAGAAGGGUAGAAGCAAACAAGCAAAACAGACUACAGGAGUCACUCUCACAGAAUGUUGUAAUCCACACGGGAUCAAUUAAGCAGCUGCUCCUCAAGCUUCUCUGCAGGGCCAAUGGUGCCAGGCAAGUGUUGUGCUCAGCGGAAAAGGAAACAGGAGGGAGAUUCCAGGUGAAGGCAAUGGAAUUGCAGCUGCCAGAUCAUCUGUGGUAUGCCUCUUGGCUUCUGAGGUUAACCUCAGACCCUGAUUUAAGGCAAAUCCAUAACAAGAGAAAUGUAUAGCAAGAAUAUUCUGCUGCAUCUACACAAUAGAAUUAUUUGACAAGAACCAAUCUGAAGGGGCUGUUUAAAAGAGCUGAAAUCCUCUCUGACUGCCCAACAGUAGUAAAAUUACCCUUUUUUGAUUGAUAAAGUCAGAAGAAGCCCACCAAGAAAAGUUCGAGGGAAUAAAACCAAUGAAGUGAUGCAGGUGAGGCGGUGACUGUCCUGAAUCAGUGCCUGGAUGCAGUAAUGGACUGGAUGAGGGUGAACAAGUUGAGACUCAAUCCAGACAAGGCAGAGGUAGUGUUGGCUGGUGGUUCCUAUGCUCGGGUGAAUGAUGUUCAGCCUGCAUUCCCUCUGAAGGACCAGGUUUGCAGUCUGGGUGUGUUCUUUGAUCCAGCACUGUUGCUAGAAGCCCAAGUGGCCUUUGUGGCUUGGAGUGCCUUUCAUCAGCUUCGGCUGAUAUGCCCACUGCAACCUUGCUUGGAUAGAGAUAGCUUGGCCACAGUUACUCAUGCUCUGGUAACCUCUUGCUUCGAUUACUACAAUGUGUUGUAUUUGGGGCUGCCUUUGAAAAUGGUCCAGAAACUACAGUUUAUACAAAAUGGGGCUACAAGAUUAUUAAUUUGGACUGGGCACUUUGAUCAUAUUACUUUGUCAACUGCAUUGGCUCCCAGUCCGUUUCCGAGCCCAAUUCAAAGUGUUGGUUUUAACCUUUAAAGCCCUAAAUGGCUUGGGACCUGGUUACCUGAGGGAACUUGUCCCAUAUGUCCCGACUCAGACCGUAAGACCUUAUUUGGAGGCUCUGCUCCAAGUGCCAUGCCAACCGAGGUGAGGUGGGUGGCUACUAGGGAGAGGGCCAUUUCAGUGGUUGUACCCUGUUUAUGGAACAGCCUCCCCAGUGAGGUUCACCUGAUACCAUUACUUUGUUCUUUUAGAUGCCAGGUGAAGACCUUUCU